rnacentral:tRNA from 1 species
GGCGGUAUAGCUCAGUUGGUCAGAGCAUUCGGUUCAUAUCCGAAGUGUCAAUGGUUCAAAUCCAUUUACCGCUACCA